GCACCUGUGGCUUAAAGAAGUAGGGCACUGGCCUCAUAUGCCAGAGGUGGCAGGUUCAAACCCAGCCUCGGCCA
rfam:Otolemur garnettii contig124081, whole genome shotgun sequence.